rnacentral:rRNA from 1 species
AACGCGAAGAACCUUACCAGCCCUUGACAUGGUGAUUAAGAUUUUCAGAGAUGAAGAUUGUCGGUUCGGCCGGAUCACACACAGGUGCUGCAUGGCUGUCGUCAGCUCGUGUCGUGAGAUGUUGGGUUAAGUCCCGCAACGAGCGCAACCCUCUUCUUCAGUUGCCAUCAUUAAGUUGGGAACUCUGGAGAUACUGCCGGUGAUAAGCCGGAGGAAGGUGGGGAUGACGUCAAGUCCUCAUGGCCCUUAUGGGCUGGGCUACACACGUGCUACAAUGGCGGUGACAACGGGAUGCAAAGGCGCGAGCCCCAGCAAACCCCUUAAAAGCCGUCUCAGUUCGGAUUGUUCUCUGCAACUCGAGAGCAUGAAGUUGGAAUCGCUAGUAAUCGCGGAUCAGCAGGUCGCGGUGAAUACGUUCCCGGGCCUUGUACACACCGAGUAUA